rnacentral:rRNA from 1 species
AGGAGAGUUUGAUCCUGGCUCAGGAUGAACGCUGGCGGCGUGCCUAACACAUGCAAGUCGAGCGGGAAUCAUCUGAUUGAAACUUCGGUAGAUAGAGGAUGAGGAUAGCGGCGGACGGGUGAGUAACGCGUAGGUAACCUGCCCCUUACACAGGGAUAGCCUCGGGAAACUGGGAUUAAUACCUGAUAACGCGGUGAAGUCACAUGGCUUUACCGCCAAAGAUUUAUCGGUGAGGGAUGGACCUGCGUCUGAUUAGCUGGUUGGUGAGGUAACGGCCCACCAAGGCAACGAUCAGUAGCCGACCUGAGAGGGUAAUCGGCCACAUUGGAACUGAGACACGGUCCAAACUCCUACGGGAGGCAGCAGUGGGGAAUAUUGCACAAUGGGCGCAAGCCUGAUGCAGCAACGCCGCGUGAGCGAAGAAGGUCUUCGGAUCGUAAAGCUCUGUCCUCAGGAACGAAGAAGUGACGGUACCUGAGGAGGAAGCCCCGGCUAACUACGUGCCAGCAGCCGCGGUAAUACGUAGGGGGCGAGCGUUAUCCGGAAUUAUUGGGCGUAAAGAGUACGUAGGCGGUUCUGUAAGCGUGAGGUGAAAGCCCGGGGCUUAACUCCGGUAAGCCUUUCGAACUGCAGGACUUGAGUGCUGGAGGGGAAAGUGGAAUUCCUAGUGUAGCGGUGAAAUGCGUAGAUAUUAGGAGGAACACCAGUGGCGAAGGCGACUUUCUGGACAGUAACUGACGCUGAGGUACGAAAGCGUGGGGAGCAAACAGGAUUAGAUACCCUGGUAGUCCCCU